rnacentral:rRNA from 1 species
UACGUAGGGUGCGAGCGUUAAUCGGAAUUACUGGGCGUAAAGCGUGCGCAGGCGGCUUUGCAAGACAGAUGUGAAAUCCCCGAGCUCAACUUGGGAACUGCAUUUGUGACUGCAUAGCUAGAGUACGGUAGAGGGGAGUGGAAUUCCGCGUGUAGCAGUGAAAUGCGUAGAUAUGCGGAGGAACACCGAUGGCGAAGGCAGCUCCCUGGACCUGUACUGACGCUCAUGCACGAAAGCGUGGGGAGCAAACAGG